rnacentral:rRNA from 1 species
ACGGCGAGUGAAGCGGCAACAGCUCAAAUUUGAAAUCUGGCUCCUUUUGGGGUCCGAGUUGUAAUUUGUAGAGGGUGCUUUGGUGUUGGCUGUGGUCCAAGUUCCCUGGAACAGGACGUCACAGAGGGUGAGAACCCCGUACGUGGCCGCCAGUCUUCGCCGUGUAAAGCCCCUUCGAAGAGUCGAGUUGUUUGGGAAUGCAGCUCUAAAUGGGAGGUAAAUUCCUUCUAAAGCUAAAUAUUGGCCAGAGACCGAUAGCGCACAAGUAGAGUGAUCGAAAGAUGAAAAGCACUUUGGAAAGAGAGUGAAAUAGCACGUGAAAUUGUUGAAAGGGAAGCGCUUGGAGCCAGACGUGCCCGUAGUUGCUCAGCCGGGGUUUUCCCCGGUGCACUCUUCUGCGGGCAGGCCAGCAUCAGUCUGGGCGGUCGGACAAAUACCUGCUAAACGUACCUCUCCCGGGAGGACUUAUAGGGUAGGUGGCAUACGACCAGCCCGGACUGAGGACCGCGCAUCUGCUAGGAUGCUGGCGUAAUGGCUGUAAGCGGCCCGUCUUGAAACACGGACCAAGGAGUCUAACAUCUAUGCGAGUGUUUGGGUGUCAAGCCCGAGCGCGCAAUGAAAGUGAACGUAGGUGGGAGCCUCUCGGGGCGCACCAUCGACCGAUCCUGAUGUCUUCGGAAGGAUUUGAGUAAGAGCAUAGCUGUUGGGACCCGAAAGAUGGUGAACUAUGCCUGGAUAGGGUGAAGCCAGAGGAAACUCUGGUGGAGGCUCGCAGCGGUUCUGACGUGCAAAUCGAUCGUCAAA